UUUUUUUUUUUAACUCAUGCAUGAGAGUAGAAUGUAUCAUGUGUUAUAAACUAUAUGAAUAUGUAAUGUGGUGUAUUUGGAAGAUGAGAAAUAAUGUGGUGUUCUUAUUCCAAACGACUCUCUAUUGAUCAAUGAUAUUAAAGCUACUUCUUGGUUCUGGUUUAAGGGUCGCAAAGGCCGGAACUCUUCUGUCUCUUUUAUGACUGGUGUAGUAAUCCUCUUAUAUGCCUCCAAAACAUUGUAAGGGAUUGAGUACCCCUAGUACUCCCUUAUAAUAAAAUUUUGUUUAUAUAAAAAAAAAAACUAUGAAUAUGUAAG
rnacentral:lncRNA from 1 species